GCAGAAAGUUUCCACUUUCUCAGCGGCUUAGUAGUGGAACAGGUGCAGAAGGUGCCCAAAUGCUGACAGCACGCACGGUGUGGAGCGGCUGUGUGGACACGAAACACGCGCUUUCCACGACGUUCCGUUCCGUCCGUCGACCACGCGAUUCGCGCCAAACAGCGAAGUGAGCUCGCGCUCAGUCACCGCUGAGCGCCGCGCGCCCCCACGUCCAUCUCUCAACGCACCGCUUCACACCAGGCAGCGACCGCCGCGUCCGCAGGAUUUUCCCUCGUCCUCGCCUCGGACUCGGAGCUGCACGCACUAAGUGCCACGAUCCUUUUGUGCGCGUCACGCGUUUUGUCCAAGGCGGCUUCCCCUGAGUGACAGUCGAGGCUACACUGACUGAGCUACUGAAGC